rnacentral:tRNA from 1 species
GCCAGAGUGAUGGAAUGGUAUACAUAGCGGAUUCAAAAUCCGCCGCCUCACGGCUUGUGGGUUCAAAUCCCAUCUCUGGUACCA